rnacentral:rRNA from 1 species
GACGAACGCUGGCGGCGUGCUUAACACAUGCAAGUCGAACGAAGUGGCGAACGGGUGGGUAACGCGUAAUCAACCUGCCCUUCAGAGGGGGACAACAGUUGGAAACGACUGCUAAUACCGCAUACUGAAGGAGGGGAUUGCGUCUGAUUAGCUAGUUGGAGGGGUAACGGCCAACCAAGGGGAUGAUCAGUAGCCGGUCUGGGAAGGUGGACGGCCACAAUGGGGCCGGGGAACGGCCCAGGCUCCUACGGGAAGGAGCAGUGGGGGAUCUUCCGCAAUGGACGGAAGUCCGACGGCACAAAGCCGCGUGGGUGAAGACGGCCUUCUGGGUGUAAAGCUCUGUUAGUCGGGGCGCGGUACCGGAAUAGAAAGCCACGGCUAACUACGUGCCAGCAGCCGCGGUAAUUC